ACAACAGUUGGAAACGACUGCUAAUACCGCAUAAGCCCACGACCCGGCAUCGGGAAGAGGGAAAAGGAGCAAUCCGCUUUGAGAUGGCCUCGCGUCCGAUUAGCUAGUUGGUGAGGUAACGGCCCACCAAGGCGACGAUCGGUAGCCGGACUGAGAGGUUGAACGGCCACAUUGGGACUGAGACACGGCCCAGACUCCUACGGGAGGCAGCAGUGGGGAAUAUUGCACAAUGGGGGAAACCCUGAUGCAGCGACGCCGCGUGGAGGAAGAAGGUCUUCGGAUUGUAAACUCCUGUUGUUGAGGAAGAUAAUGACGGUACUCAACAAGGAAGUGACGGCUAACUACGUGCCAGCAGCCGCGGUAAAACGUAGGUCACAAGCGUUGUCCGGAAUUACUGGGUGUAAAGGGAGCGCAGGCGGGCGAUCAAGUUGGAAGUGAAAUCCAUGGGCUCAACCCAUGAACUGCUUUCAAAACUGGUCGUCUUGAGUAGUGCAGAGGUAGGCGGAAUUCCCGGUGUAGCGGUGGAAUGCGUAGAUAUCGGGAGGAACACCAGUGGCGAAGGCGGCCUACUGGGCACCAACUGACGCUGAGGCUCGAAAGUGUGGGUAGCAAACAGGAUUAGAUACCCUGGUAGUCCACACCGUAAACGAUGAUUACUAGGUGUUGGGAGAUUGACCCUCUCAGUGCCG
rnacentral:rRNA from 1 species